UGCAACGAUGAAGAACGCAGCGAAAUGCGAUACGUAGUGUGAAUUGCAGAAUUCCGCGAAUCAUCGAGUCUUUGAACGCAAGUUGCGCCCGAGGCUUGUCCAAGGGCAUUUCCGCUAGAGCGUCACC
rnacentral:rRNA from 1 species